rnacentral:rRNA from 1 species
UACGUAGGGUGCGAGCGUUAAUCGGAAUUACUGGGCGUAAAGCGUGCGCAGGCGGUUCGUUAAGUCAGCUGUGAAAGCCCCGGGCUUAACCUGGGAAUGGCGGUUGAAACUGGCGAACUUGAAUCUGGCAGAGGGGGGUGGAAUUCCACGUGUAGCAGUGAAAUGCGUAGAUAUGCGGAGGAACACCGAUGGCGAAGGCAAUCCCCUGGGCCUGCACUGACGCUCAUGCACGAAAGCGUGGGGAGCAAACAGG